rnacentral:rRNA from 1 species
CCUACGGGCGGCUGCAGUGGGGAAUAUUGGACAAUGGGCGAAAGCCUGAUCCAGCCAUGCCGCGUGUGUGAAGAAGGCCUUCGGGUUGUAAAGCACUUUCAGUGGGGAAGAAAGCCUUGGGGCUAAUACCCUCGAGGAAGGACAUCACCCACAGAAGAAGCACCGGCUAACUCCGUGCCAGCAGCCGCGGUAAUACGGAGGGUGCGAGCGUUAAUCGGAAUUACUGGGCGUAAAGCGCGCGUAGGCGGUCUGAUAAGCCGGUUGUGAAAGCCCCGGGCUCAACCUGGGAACGGCAUCCGGGAACGGCAGGCUAGAGUGCAGGAGAGGAAGGUAGAAUUCCCGGUGUAGCGGUGAAAUGCGUAGAGAUCGGGAGGAAUACCAGUGGCGAAGGCGGCCUUCUGGACUGACACUGACGCUGAGGUGCGAAAGCGUGGGUAGCAAACAGGAUUAGAUACCCGAGUAGUC